rnacentral:lncRNA from 1 species
GGCAGAGCUCUCAUGAUUGGGAUUAGUACGCUUGUAAAAGAAACCCCAGAAAGCUACCUUGCCUUUUCAGCCAUGUUGAGGACACAGUGAGAAGACGGCCGUCUAUGAGCCAGGAGACAGGUCCUUACCAGAACUCAACCUGCUGGCAACCCCAAUCACAGAUGUCCAGCUUCCAGAACUAGGAUUUCACGGGAAAGGACCACAAACUCUGCUCCUUUUAAAUUUCGUUGAAGAAUGUCAGCAAAUUACAAUUGUUCAAAAUCAAAAUUUCAUAAACUUGGCUGCAGAAUAUUUAUGAUGCAAAAACAAUCGCAAAAGGCUUUGCUGCAAAGCUUUAUUGACACAGCCUUCCUGUCCCCACAUCUUGCUUCCUCUCAGGAAAGUGGGACGUGUUGGAUGAUUUCCCAGCUUCUAUUUGGAGAGGAAGUCUACAGGUUUUUCACCAUCAAGCCAAUCUGCACUCACUGAAGAACACCUGCAACCAAAGGCUGUGCCUAUUCUCUUUUGUGCGUUUGCAGCUAUCAAAAUAAAUGAGUUAUGAGGAUGGGAAAAUUACAUUUCUUUUCAGAGUAACUUUGCUCUCCACAUAUGCACAAGGAGGUUUACACCCUGAUGCCCCGAUGUUGUGAACGGUGCUUAUGAUUAGAAUUACAAUUUAGGCAUUUUGCACUCAAAACCAAUGUCAAUAAUUGUUCCAAGAGAAGGAGCUUCUAAAAGGCCUCAUGCACAGGCAGAUUUUCCCUGGUACUGCCCCUUUAUUUUGUACACAGUAAAUUAUUAAACCCACAUAAUAAUGGAAAACAAGGAAACUGCCUGUCUCCUCUACCCAGAUGUAUCACCAAUACAAUACUAAUCAUUCUCCCUGCAUGCAAGUCCUUUCUCCUACCUACUCAUUCACUUCCUUCAACAAUAUCUGUCUCAGCAGACAUAACAGUUGUCGCACUCCUCACCCAUCUGCACAUCUCCCCAGGUCUUAAAAUGUGGCUCAGACAACCCUGAGAGCUUAUAACGCUUUAUGCUUAGCCUAAGGCUUGACACAGGGAGAGAGUGUGUUGUUUGCUCAGAUGUGUCCUCAUCUAUUGUUUAUUAUUUACAACCCUGACUUUGAAAGUGGAAAUAGUCAUAAAAAAUUCCUUCAACAGAAAAAGAGCAAAAAACAACCAAUUCAUAGACAAAUAACCUGAUCAUUACAUUCAAGGAGCCUUGGCUCCUCAGUAGCAUUCUAAUGUGUCUGCUAUUAUGUCCUGUCCUAUCAUAUCCCCUUGCAUCUGUAGCUAUGUUGGUGAUGAUGGCAUGACAGCAGGAUGUGUAAGUGUACAAGGUCUGUUUGCAUGAAGAUAGAUUGCUCAGUCGUACAAAAUCCAGCUCCACUUUGGAAUUUCCUCAGUCAGGAUGGCUGCGUUUGAUGAGAACCAAGAAUGUAGUACAUGAUCAUCCUUUUCCAGACUUCCUGACACGGUGAAAGACACCCCAAACCAAAAGUGACCAUAUCCUGUGUUGUCAAUCACUCUCCAGAGACUGGCCACUUCCUUUGAAGUGACUCAGUGUCAGGGGAUCAAAAAAAUCUAAAUAAUGACAUUUCUAAGUGUCCUUUUCUGCUCAGAUUGAUUUCAUAGCACUCUCCACCCUGAUGUACAUCUCUUCCAAAUACCUCUAAAGCUUUUAGUCAUCUUAGAAUAUUCUAGUCUCAUGUUUCACUAUUGUUUUCAGAUUAUUCUGAGAGCAUUUUAGCUAGAAAGUGCCACCUCUCCUUACAUUGACUUUUGUUGUCUGUCCCAAGCUCAUCUUCCUUUCUGCUUAUCUGAAGCCUACCAGUUUUUCAAAGCCCCAAUCUUCCUCUCCAUCAAAUUCCAGUAGUAUUUACUGCCUGCUGGACUUACUUGGCAAUGGUCAUGUUCUGCCUUCUAUUUUUGGCCGCUUUUUAUGUGUAGGUACCUUGGCACCCCACUAGACUGGAAAAGUCUCCAAGGGUCAACAGUUUACUUUGCAACAAUCAGUGUAACUCAUGAGAAAUUCUCAGCGUAUCUUGAAUGAAUACAGUAAUAGAAGUAUAAAUGGCUGGCUGGUAAGCUUAUCUUCUACAGAAAAUUGUGGCCAUUAGGUGUGACCUCCUUCAACUUUGUCUCCCUCCUCUUACACACCUGCAAACAUCAGCACUACUCCUUUAUUUUUUUCCUUAUUAUAAGAAGAUGAAGCAUAUUUUGCAAAAUGCAGAUGCCUCUGCAUAUUUCAUUAAUUCUUUUCCUCCCACCCCUCCUGUCACUGAUCAUUCACUGUCUCUCCCAUGAUUCUUUAUUUAGUCUAUAAACCAGCCCUCCUCUCUUGACCUCAAAUCCUGCUCAUUCAAUACUUUCCUUUCUACCCCCUUCAGCUUCUUAAAAAGCGAGUCUGUGUUUGCUAUUUCCAUUUUUUUUCUUUUAAUUCCUGACUCUCAGUCACCUGGUUUCAGC